AGACUGGAGACUUUGUGGGCCU
rnacentral:siRNA from 1 species